UACGUAGGGGGCUAGCGUUGCUCGGAAUUACUGGGCGUAAAGCGCACGUAGGCGGACUCUUAAGUCGGUGGUGAAAUCCUGGAGCUCAACUCCAGAACUGCCUUCGAUACUGGGAGUCUCGAGUCCGGGAGAGGUGAGUGGAACUGCGAGUGUAGAGGUGAAAUUCGUAGAUAUUCGCAAGAACACCAGUGGCGAAGGCGGCUCACUGGCCCGGUACUGACGCUGAGGUGCGAAAGCGUGGGGAGCAAACAGG
rnacentral:rRNA from 1 species